AGUGAACGCUGGCGGUAGGCCUAACACAUGCAAGUCGAACGGCAGCACAGUAAGAGCUUGCUCUUACGGGUGGCGAGUGGCGGACGGGUGAGGAAUACAUCGGAAUCUACUUUUUCGUGGGGGAUAACGUAGGGACACUUACGCUAAUACCGCAUACGACCUACGGGUGAAAGCAGGGGAUCUUCGGACCUUGCGCGAUUGAAUGAGCCGAUGUCGGAUUAGCUAGUUGGCGGGGUAAAGGCCCACCAAGGCGACGAUCCGUAGCUGGUCUGAGAGGAUGAUCAGCAACACUGGAACUGAGACACGUUCCAGACUCCUACGGGAGGCAGCAGUGGGGAAUAUUGGACAAUGGGCGCAAGCCUAAUCCAGCCAGACCGCGUGGGUGAAGAAGGCCUUCGGUUUGUAAAGCCCUUUUGUUGGGAAAGAAAAGCAGCAGGUUAAGACCCCGCUGUUCUGACGGUACCCAAAGAAUAAGCACCGGCUAACUUCGU
rnacentral:rRNA from 1 species